rnacentral:rRNA from 1 species
AUUGAACGCUGGCGGCAGGCCUAACACAUGCAAGUCGAACGAGUGGCGGACGGGUGAGUAAUGUCUGGGAAAGUGCCUGAUGGAGGGGGAUAACUACUGGAAACGGUAGCUAAUACCGCAUACCAUCAGAUGUGCCCAGGUGGGAUUAGCUUGUGGGUGGGGUAACGGCUCACCAAGGCGACGAUCCCUAGCUGGUCUGAGAGGAUGCCCAGCCACACUGGGACUGAGACACGGCCCAGACUCCUACGGGAGGCAGCAGUGGGGAAUAUUGCACAAUGGGCGAAAGCCUGAUCCAGCCAUGCCGCGUGUAUGAAGAAGGCCUUCGGGUUGUAAAGUACUUUUGGCAGGGAGGCGUUAUCUGCAGAAGAAGCACCGGCUAACUCCGUGCCAGCAGCCGCGGUAAUAC